rnacentral:rRNA from 1 species
GAUGAACGCUGGCGGCGUGCCUAAUACAUGCAAGUCGAGCGAACAGACGAGGAGCUUGCUCCUCUGACGUUAGCGGCGGACGGGUGAGUAACACGUGGAUAACCUACCUAUAAGACUGGGAUAAAUUCGGGAAACCGGAGCUAAUACCGGAUAAUAUAUUGAACCGCAUGGUUCAAUAGUGAAAGACGGUUUUGCUGUCACUUAUAGAUGGAUCCGCGCCGCAUUAGCUAGUUGGUAAGGUAACGGCUUACCAAGGCAACGAUGCGUAGCCGACCUGAGAGGGUGAUCGGCCACACUGGAACUGAGACACGGUCCAGACUCCUACGGGAAGCAGCAGUAGGGAAUCUUCCGCAAUGGGCGAAAGCUUGACGGAGCAACGCCGCGUGAGUGAUGAAGGUCUUCGGAUCGUAAAACUCUGUUAUUAGGGAAGAACAAAUGUGUAAGUAACUAUGCACGUCUUGACGGUACCUAAUCAGAAAGCCACGGCUAACUACGUG